ACUGCCUGAGGUCAGGAAGCUGCAGGUAGCAGGGGAGCGGGUUGGCUCAGGCCUCUCUGGCUGCCAAGGCAGGAGUGGUCUCUGUGUGCCACCUGGGUGUCGCUGGACCUUAGGCAGUGUGGCUGGAGGAUCCGGAAGGGGUGAGGAAGCAGGAGAGGCUGUGUAACUUACCCAAGGUCACAUCGCUAGCAAGUUCCAGAUCAAGAUGCAUAGCCAGGCAGUCUGGCUCCAGAGUCAGUGCGUUUACCCACAGAGCCCAUCUCCAGCCAGCAUCUGACCCGUGGCCCAGGAGGGUGCAGCCUCUGGCAGGUGAGGGCUUGGAGCAGAGACCUGGCCAUUACAGGAAGCAGGCUGGAGCUAUGGACAGAGCGGAGAGAGUGGGGGCCAGUGGCGCUGCUGCCAUCAGACACUGGGUGCUGAUCCCAUGCAGCCCUCCCCGGGGAGUGGAGCCCAGCGUGCAAGACCUGGCAGGUUCUGACCUGGGUUUUCACCAAAUGCCC